rnacentral:rRNA from 1 species
UACGAAGGGGGCUAGCGUUGCUCGGAAUCACUGGGCGUAAAGGGUGCGUAGGCGGGUCUUUUAAGUCAGGGGUGAAAUCCUGGAGCUCAACUCCAGAACUGCCUUUGAUACUGAAGAUCUUGAGUUCGGGAGAGGUGAGUGGAACUGCGAGUGUAGAGGUGAAAUUCGUAGAUAUUCGCAAGAACACCAGUGGCGAAGGCGGCUCACUGGCCCGGUACUGACGCUGAGG